CUGUCCCGUCACGUGGAACACCACUCGCCGAGAGCGCCCCGGCGGCUACUCUGGCUUGGUGCGCCCUCCGCCGAGGAGGGCGCAAAGCCGACAGCCGUCGCACCCAGGGAGCUCACCCAUG
rnacentral:sRNA from 21 species